rnacentral:rRNA from 1 species
UACGAAGGGGGCUAGCGUUGUUCGGAAUUACUGGGCGUAAAGGGCGCGCAGGCGGCCCUCCAAGUCAGGCGUGAAAGCCCCGGGCUCAACCCGGGAACAGCGCUUGAGACUGGGGGGCUUGAGUUCGGGAGAGGAGAGUGGAAUUCCAGGUGUAGCAGUGAAAUGCGUAGAGAUCUGGAGGAACACCGAUGGCGAAGGCAGCCCCCUGGGCUAACACUGACGCUCAGGCACGAAAGCGUGGGGAGCAAACAGG